AUGAUUGACAAUGUUACUGCCAAUUGGGAGAACCAGAUUAAGGUCUUACAACAAAGGUUUUCCUGUUCAUCCAAACCUGAAAAUUACUUAAUAAAAUAAUUGCAAACUUGAAACUUGUAUACAUAAAUUACAUGCACGUCUUGGGUUAGUCUUAGCUGUCAGUGAUAAUUAGAGUCUUAGUUGUUGGUGAGGACUUACUGUGAACUUGUAUACACAGAUUACAUAUGCACUUGAGGUGAGCGUUGGGUAUUGGUGAUGACUUACCAUGAACUGGCCGGUGAGGACAUCAAGCUCCACUUCACUGCAGGCAACUCCAAACACUGCAUAGCCCUGGGUUUCAUUGGCCCCAUUCCUGGUGAGGCACAAGCCACAUUAGCAGGCAGGUUCUGAUCCUCACAUUUAUCAAGGCAAGUUCUGAUCUAUACACUCUGCACAAGCCACACUAACAAGGCAGGUUUAUCCUUACAUUCUUUUUUUUAUCUAAGCAUGGUAUACUGGCAACAAAAAUCUACAUAAAUAAGGCCCACUGAGGUGCCAGUUCUUAAAGAAAUAAGAUAGAUUCUCACCCUUACAUUCUCAGUAUUUAUAUAACUCUCAAUGAAAUUUUCUCAUAAAAGUUACAAAAGAAAAAAAAUUGAAGUGAUGCAUCUAUUUUGUAAUUUCACAACAGAUUAAGAAGUGAAAAUACUGAGGAUGAACCCUAAUAGAGAGACAAACAAGCAAGCAAACAGAAGAGCCGUACACAUAUCUCUGAGAGAUGUCCACCCCGGCAUUGAAAGCAGAGAGCACCACCUCCUUCCAGGAAGCGUCAAGCAGGCCGGCCACCUGCUUGUAAGUGUCCAGGCGGGCACGCAGGAUCUUGCAGGCCUCCCCCACACACUGACAACACCAGGCAUGGCUCAUGUGUGGCUUCCGCAAAGAAGCCCACUCACCCACCUUCGUAUUGAGUCCCUGGCCCAUCUCUGAUCCACCAUGGGAGAUGGACACAGAGCCGUCCCGAGCAUUGACAGCCACCAGCACACUGAAGGGGUACACGGGCGGCACAGAAUGAGGCCACAGCAUGGGCAUCACUGUCAGGCCACGCUUCUUCCAUAGAUUGUCCUGAGGAGUUGAAAAUUAUUAUUAACUGGAGAAAAGGUCAACACACCAGCUCAUGCUCACCCUCAUCACCACACAAGUCCCCACCCACCUUAUUGAACUGUGCCACCUCUGCCUUGCGUUUCUCCACAUCUGCAGAGGCCAACAGCUGCGUGAUCAUGUUUGAAAUGAGGUUCCUGGGAAUUGUAACCUCAUCAGGCAAGUCCUUCACAUCUGUUAAUUAAAAAAAAAGUUAGAUAUAAUUAAUCCUCUUCAGAUAUAAGUCAUGUCAGAAUCAAGAGGAAAUGUUCAAAAUGAUGUAUUUUAGCAACUAUCCAAUCUAGGAAUAUAUUCUGAAACACUUUGCCACUGUGCAUGUUUCUACUACAUUCAAAAAGCUUUAGUUGAAGUGACAGAAGUUAGUUAAGGAUAUUUUUACGGUUCUAAUGACAGAUCAAGAUUCUAAAUAAUUAACUGGAGAAACACUUGUGAGAACCCAGCAAAUCACCUCUGUAACCUUUGAAAAUAGUCAUGGUGAAGCAACAUGGGAUUUUUUAUGUGUUUUUCAACUCUAGUGACAGAUGAACAAAAUUUAUAGAUUAUUGACAGGAGAAACACUAAUGAGAACUCGGCAAAUCCUCUCUGUGGCCUUUGAAAAUUGUUGUGGUGCAUAAAAGAGCAAAGCAUUUAAGAAGACAGGCAAUAUAACUGAGAGCAAAGAAGUGUUUAGCAGCACAAGAAGUCAUCCACACUCCUUACUGCAGCCUGCCAUGCGGGAACGUAGCUGGAUGAUCUCCUUGCCAAGCCUCCUGCUGCCACCGUCUGGGAGGAGGUUCCUCUGCCGCAGCUCUAGGGGAUCCAGGCCAAGCUCUGCCGCCACGUGGUCCAUGAUGUUCUCCAUGAAGCAGAUGCCCUCCACAGUUCCUGCCAUGCAAAUAUUGCUUAUUUCCUCCAGCCAGCUCAUUUGGUUUCUCUCUCUCUCUGUCAUUUUCAGCAGAAUUUCCCACCUAACGUGUCAUUCUGCAGGCAUAUCAUUUUACAGGGGACUCACCUGGUGUGCGGCACCAGGUGGUGACGGGGGUGUUGGUGAGGAUGAACUGUGGGGUGAGCUCCCAGUUGGAGCAGGCAUAGCAGGACGGCAUUGCAGCCACUGCUGAUGAACUGCUGACAUCAACACCCUUGUAGCCUGAGUCAGCAGUGAGCACAGCCUGCACCGCCUGCAGCUUGCCGGCAUCAUCAAACCCAACCUGAGAGAGUUGGGGAGUGUGAGGGAGGCGGGCACACAUACACACACACAGCCACUCAGUAACUUUUUGACCUUUCUUUGGGGACUGGCACUCUCAGUGGACCUUUUUUUUUUUUCAUACUUUUGCUGUCCUUGGCCAGUGCCCCUCUUACAUAAAAAACUAUAACCUUUCCUCUCAACAACUUAGUCAGUUCAUGAUUCAUCAGUUUAUUCUGAUAUUCCAAAGUAAACACUGCACCACCAAGGCUAAGAAGCACCUGCCUUGUAAGUGCACAGGUAAGGUUCCCGACCGCCCACAAUCCUCAUGUUGUCACUCAGGUCCAGUUGGACCCGCACUGGCCGCCGCAUCUUCUGGGCAGCCACAGCGGCAGCCGUCGAUACAAUAUUGCACUGGUCAAUCUUGCCGCCAAAGCCUCCACCAAGACGCUUGACACUCACAUGCACUCUGCAGGUCAGAACUUCAUGAGUACAUCUUGAACAUGUACAGUGGCUGUCAAUAACUAUGUGCAGUGACUUGCUAUAUUCCCUGAAUGGUGGUGCCCUCCUACCCCCAACUCACUGGUUGUCAGGCACACCCAGCACUUGAGCGAUGGCACGCUGGGUCUCAGACGCCCAUUGGGUGGCGCUGUGCACCUCGAAGCCGUCGUCCGUCGGGUUCACAAUCGUUAUCUUCCGGACAAUGUUGAUGAAACAUUACUUCACCCACAAAGUAUUUCACAGUUGAAGAAUUGUGAAUAAUAAUGCACAAAUAACAUGACACAUUGCAAUGAUAUAUUUCCAUAGAUUUCUUUUUAAAGAAAAUAUACCAUAUAUUAUUAAUACUUCGGAAAUAAUAUAUUUUUGAAAUAUGAAGUAUUUGACAGUUGAGUGAGAUCACCUCCCAGCCUGCCUACCUGAGUCUCCAGUUGGUAAUGGAGCUGCCCACCCCUCCGCAUGGCUCCCUCGAUGACAUGGGUGGAAGCAGCAAAGCCAGCUGUCAGGAGUGCAACAAAAGUAUUAAUAGACAGUACUGGAUUCCACAGACUUAUUUUUAUUUCCUGAGACUAAAAGUAAAAAUAACUUGAAAGGCUGAGGCUGAGCAAGGUCUUGGGAAGCCUAUGAUGAAGUCCCAGGUGGAGGGAGCCUCUCACCUGCCACGUCUCCUAUCACCACAGGAGGAAACUGGCUGGGAGGAAGGGGCUUGGUGAGGGCCUCGUCUAUGGUGAUGACUGGUGCCUGGAUGUCAUCAUAGGUGACCUUCACUGCCUCCAGGCCAGCAUAGGCUGCACUCCUGUUGGUGGCCACUAGCAGGCCGAGGGGCUGGCCAUUGUACUCCACACGCUCUGAUGCAAACACCUGGAAAAGUGUGACAAGUAAAUCUGACAUGUAUGAAAGAGUGUGACUAGUAAAUUUGACACAUGUGGAAAAGUAUCACUUGUAAAUUUGACAUGUAUGGUGGUAAGAAAAAAUGUAACUAGUAAAUCUGACACAUAUGGAAGAGUAUGACUGGUAAAUUUGACAUGUAUGUUGGUUUGGCUAAUCAGGUGGCUAUGAUUCAGAAAGAGAUAAUAAAACUGCUGAUAAAAGAUGAAAUAGAAGAACAUUGACAGUCUGGCAGCAAGAUUAAGUGGGUAGCACACAGCAGGCAUCUGUCUCCCUCACUUACUGGUUGGGAGCUGCCGGGGACCCAGUCUGCAGCAAAGGCCAGCAUGUUAUUCUGGCCACGAAUGUCCUCAGCUCCCACAAAGCCCACAACUCCUGGGAUGGCCUGGAAAAUAAACAGGGAAGUCCACAAGUUAUUAGGAGCCACAACCCACUAUCUCUCUCUCUCUCUCUCUCUCUCUCUCUCUCUCUCUCUCUCUCUCUCUCUCUCUCUCUCUCUCUCUCUCUCUCUUCUCUCUUCUCUCUC